rnacentral:rRNA from 1 species
UACGUAGGUGGCAAGCGUUGUCCGGAAUUAUUGGGCGUAAAGCGCGCGCAGGCGGCCUCUUGAGUCUGAUGUGAAAGCCCCCCGGCUCAACCGGGGAGGGCCAUUGGAAACUGGGAGGCUUGAGUAUAGGAGAGAAGAGUGGAAUUCCACGUGUAGCGGUGAAAUGCGUAGAGAUGUGGAGGAACACCAGUGGCGAAGGCGACUCUUUGGCCUAUAACUGACGCUGAGGCACGAAAGCGUGGGGAGCCAAACAGGG